AAAUGCGAUAAGUAAUGUGAAUUGCAGAAUUCCGUGAAUCAUCGAAUCUUUGAACGCACAUUGCGCCCUCUGGUAUUCCGGGGGGCAUGCCUGUCCGAGCGUCAUUGCGAACCCCUCAAGCACGGCUUGUGUGAUGGGCCCUCCCGCGUCUUGGUCGUCAAGACGGGCCCGAAAUGCAGUGGCGGCUUCGCGGUUAUCCGAUCAGCCAGAGCGUAUGGGGACUUUCUCUCUGUCACACGCCCGCGGCGCGGACCGACGCCUGUCGACCUUCAUUCAUCGUUUUCUCGGUUGACCUCGGAUCAGGUAGGGAUACCCGCUGAACUUACGC
rnacentral:misc_RNA from 1 species